rnacentral:rRNA from 1 species
GGGCGAAAGCCUGACGCAGCGACGCCGCGUGGGGGAUGAAGGCCUUCGGGUUGUAAACCCCUUUCAGCAGGGACGAAGCGAAAGUGACGGUACCUGCAGAAGAAGCGCCGGCUAACUACGUGCCAGCAGCCGCGGUAACACGUAGGGCGCAAGCGUUGUCCGGAAUUAUUGGGCGUAAAGAGCUCGUAGGCGGUCUGCCACGUCCGCUGUGAAAACCUAGGGCUUAACCCUGGGCUUGCAGUAGAUACGGGCAGACUAGAGGUAGGUAGGGGAGAAUGGAAUUCCCGGUGUAGCGGUGAAAUGCGCAGAUAUCGGGAGGAACACCGGUGGCGAAGGCGGUUCUCUGGGCCUUACCUGACGCUGAGGAGCGAAAGCGUGGGGAGCAAACAGGAUUAGAUACCCUGGUAGUCCACGCCGUAAACGUUGGGCGCUAGGUGUGGGGUCCUUCCACGGAUUCCGUGCCGCAGCUAACGCAUUAAGCGCCCCGCCUGGGGAGUACGG